AUCAUAAUUUUCUGUGAUGCAUUUGCUUGUUUGGUGCUUGGGGAUGUUUGAGGCAGAUUUGUAACCGCCGUUUUGAGGCCAGCUUGCUGGUACCCAAACAGCGUUAGCAUCUUUUGUCUUGGACAUUUGAGUAUGGUUUACGGGCAUUUAUUGGUUCGAUCUGAUUGUAAGUUACGGUCGCAUGCGACACGUGCUUUUCAUUUAGAUCGGUCCAGUUAAUGCUCUCGUACUCGCUCCCCAUGUAAAAGCCGGUCAUCUAUCCGACCCGUCUUGAAACACGGACCAAGGAGUUUAUCGUGUGCGCAAGUUUUUGGGUGUUAAAAACCUAAAAGCGAAAUGAAAGUAAAUGGCUCUUUAGAGUCUGACGUGCGAUCUUGUAAAAAAGGGCAGCAUGGCCCCAUUCUAACUGUUUACAGUAGGGUGGAGGAAGAGCGUACGCGGUGAGACCCGAAAGAUGGUGAACUAUUCCUGAGCAGGACGAAGCCAGAGGAAACUCUGGUGGAAGUCCGAAGCGGUUCUGACGUGCAAAUCGAUCGUCUGACUUGGGUAUAGGGGCGAAAGACUAAUCGAACCAUCUAGUAGCUGGUUC
rnacentral:rRNA from 1 species